GUGGUCUGCUGUAGGGGAAGGAGGUGUGUUGCUCGCUCCUGCUGAAGGCACUUCACAACACAGAGGCCAGCUAGCUGACAGCAACCCUCAACCCCCCAGGGUCUGGACGCAACUGAGGGAGAGGGAACUGGGGGAACUAUGAAGCCACGAGAUGCAGAGAAGUGGCAAAUGGACAGGACCUUUGGUCCUAAGCAGACCCCAAACCUUGCUGAAGGGUUGGAAGGGAUGUUGGCCUACCAGACUCACCAUGUGGAAGUGUCCUCAUAUAGAGAUUGCAUAACUGAUGCCUGUGUAAAUCAUUCUGGUAGUCCUCAGAACCUGCAACUCAAGGACUGCUUAGAUAGCAUUUAGCAGAAAUGAA